rnacentral:rRNA from 1 species
UACAGAGGGGGCAAGCGUUGUUCGGAAUCACUGGGCGUAAAGCGCACGUAGGCGGAUUGCUAAGUCAGGGGUGAAAUCCUGGAGCUCAACUCCAGAACUGCCUUUGAUACUGGCGACCUUGAGUCCUGGAGAGGAAGGUGGAAUGCUUGGUGUAGAGGUGAAAUUCGUAGAUAUCAAGCGGAACACCGGUGGCGAAGGCGGCCUUCUGGACAGUGACUGACGCUGAGACGCGAAAGCGUGGGGAGCAAACAGG